GACGAACGCUGGCGGCGUGCUUAACACAUGCAAGUCGAACGGAAAGGCCUUUUCGGAGGUACUCGAGUGGCGAACGGGUGAGUAACACGUGGGUGAUCUGCCCUGCACUCUGGGAUAAGCCUGGGAAACUGGGUCUAAUACCGGAUAGGACCGCACUUUAGUGUGUGUGGUGGAAAGUUUUUUCGGUGUAGGAUGAGCCCGCGGCCUAUCAGCUUGUUGGUGGGGUAAUGGCCUACCAAGGCGGCGACGGGUAGCCGGACUGAGAGGUUGGUCGGCCACAUUGGGACUGAGAUACGGCCCAGACUCCUCCGGGAGGAAGCAGGGGGGAAUAGUCCACAAUGGGCGGAAGCCGGAUGCAGCGACGCCGCGUGGGGGAUGACGGCCUUCGGGUUGUAACCUCCUUUCGCCGGGGACGAAGCGUUUUGUGACGGUACCUGGAAAAGAAGCACCGGCUAACUACGU
rnacentral:rRNA from 1 species